UGAUAAUUCUCAAAAUUUAAGAUUGAUAAAACGGACGCGUAUCAUAAUCUCGUGAGUUACUAACUUUUGAACCCGUACUUUAUAUAAUAAGAUAAU
rnacentral:sRNA from 1 species